GAUGAACGCUGGCGGCGUGCCUAAUACAUGCAAGUCGAGCGAACGGACGAGAAGCUUGCUUCUCUGAUGUUAGCGGCGGACGGGUGAGUAACACGUGGAUAACCUACCUAUAAGACUGGGAUAACUUCGGGAAACCGGAGCUAAUACCGGAUAAUAUUUUGAACCGCAUGGUUCAAAAGUAAAAGACGGUCUUGCUGUCACUUAUAGAUGGAUCCGCGCUGCAUUAGCUAGUUGGUAAGGUAACGGCUUACCAAGGCAACGAUGCAUAGCCGACCUGAGAGGGUGAUCGGCCACACUGGAACUGAGACACGGUCCAGACUCCUACGGGAGGCAGCAGUAGGGAAUCUUGCGCAAUGGGCGAAAGCCUGACGGAGCAACGCCGCGUGAGUGAUGAAGGUCUUCGGAUCGUAAAACUCUGUUAUUAGGGAAGAAAAUAUGUGUAAGUAACUGUGCACAUCUUGACGGUACCUAAUCAGAAAGCCACGGCUAACUACGUG
rnacentral:rRNA from 1 species